CGGGUGAGUAAUGCAUCGGAACGUACCCAUUUGUGGGGGAUAACUAUCCGAAAGGAUAGCUAAUACCGCAUAAGUCCUGAGGGAGAAAGCAGGGGAUCGCAAGACCUUGCGCGAAUGGAGCGGCCGAUGUCGGAUUAGCUAGUUGGUAGGGUAAAGGCCUACCAAGGCGACGAUCCGUAGCGGGUCUGAGAGGAUGAUCCGCCACACUGGAACUGAGACACGGUCCAGACUCCUACGGGAGGCAGCAGUGGGGAAUUUUGGACAAUGGGCGCAAGCCUGAUCCAGCCAUUCCGCGUGAGUGAAGAAGGCCUUCGGGUUGUAAAGCUCUUUCGGCAGGAACGAAACGCUCUGGGUUAAUACCCUGGGGUAAUGACGGUACCUGAAGAAGAAGCACCGGCUAACUACGUGCCAGCAGCCGCGGUAAUACGUAGGGUGCGAGCGUUAAUCGGAAUUACUGGGCGUAAAGCGCGCGCAGGCGGUUAUGUAAGACAGAUGUGAAAUCCCCGGGCUUAACCUGGGAACUGCGUUUGUGACUGCAUAACUUGAGUGUGGCAGAGGGGGGUGGAAUUCCACGUGUAGCAGUGAAAUGCGUAGAGAUGUGGAGGAACACCGAUGGCGAAGGCAGCCCCCUGGGUCAACACUGACGCUCAUGCACGAAAGCGUGGGUAGCAAACAGGAUUAGAUACCCUGGUAGUCCACGCCCUAAACGAUGCGAACUAGGUGUUGGAGAAGGAGACUUCUUUAGUACCGCAGCUAACGCGUGAAGUUCGCCGCCUGGGGAGUACGGUCGCAAGAUUAAAACUCAAAGGAAUUGACGGGGACCCGCACAAGCGGUGGAUGAUGUGGAUUAAUUCGAUGCAACGCGAAAAACCUUACCUACCCUUGACAUGCCAGGAACUUGCCAGAGAUGGCUUGGUGCCCGAAAGGGAGCCUGGACACAGGUGCUGCAUGGCUGUCGUCAGCUCGUGUCGUGAGAUGUUGGGUUAAGUCCCGCAACGAGCGCAACCCUUGUCAUUAGUUGCCAUCAUUCAGUUGGGCACUCUAAUGAGACUGCCGGUGACAAACCGGAGGAAGGUGGGGAUGACGUCAAGUCCUCAUGGCCCUUAUGGGUAGGGCUUCACACGUCAUACAAUGGUCGGUACAGAGGGUUGCCAAGCCGCGAGGUGGAGCCAAUCCCACAAAGCCGAUCGUAGUCCGGAUCGGAGUCUGCAACUCGACUCCGUGAAGUCGGAAUCGCUAGUAAUCGUGGAUCAGCAUGUCACGGUGAAUACGUUCCCGGGUCUUGUACACACCGCCCGUCACACCA
rnacentral:rRNA from 1 species